GGUUCGAUUCCGGAGAGGGAGCCUGAGAAACGGCUACCACAUCCAAGGAAGGCAGCAGGCGCGCAAAUUACCCAUUCCCGACGCGGGGAGGUAGUGACGAAAAAUAACAAUGCAGGACUCGUUCGAGGCCCUGCAAUUGGAAUGAGUACACUUUAAAAGCUUUAACGAGUAUCCAUUGGAGGGCAAGUCUGGUGCCAGCAGCCGCGGUAAUUCCAGCUCCAAAAGUAUAUAUUUAAGUUGUUGCGGUUAAAAAGCUCGUAGUUGGAUUUUGGGCGCAGGCGGCCGGUCCGUCGCAAGGCGUGUACUGGACGUCCUGGCCUUCCCUCCGGUUCUCCGCCGGUGCUCUUGACUGAGUGUCGGCGGCGGCCGGAACGUUUACUUUGAAAAAAUUAGAGUGUUCAAAGCAGGCUCUCGAGCCUGGAUAAUGGUGCAUGGAAUAAUGGAAUAGGACCUCGGUUCUAUUUUGUUGGUUUUCGGAGCGCGAGGUAAUGAUUAAGAGGGACAGACGGGGGCAUUCGUACUGUGCCGUUAGAGGUGAAAUUCUUGGAUCGGCGCAAGACGAACGACUGCGAAAGCAUUUGCCAAGAAUGUUUUCUUUAAUCAAGAGCGAAAGUCAGAGGUUCGAAGACGAUCAGAUACCGUCCUAGUUCUGACUAUAAACGAUGCCAACUAGCGAUCGGGGGGCGUUACAUUGACGACCCCUCCGGCAGCUUACGGGAAACCAAAGUCUUUGGGUUCCGGGGGAAGUAUGGUUGCAAAGCUGAAACUUA
rnacentral:ncRNA from 1 species